GCCCUAUGUGGGAGAACCUCCACGCCAGUAACCCCACCUGCUAAUUCCACAUUCUGAAAGGAAUUUCUCAUAAUCACGCUCAAGCUCACUGUAAUCCUGACUAAGAUCUUUGGUAUUGACCUGAGCUUCAUCCUCUGAUGGGUACUGCAAAACAGCUCAAGUUUUCUCAGUAGGUUGAAGAUCAAGGAAAACCUGCUAGUUGAUUGAUGUUGAUCCCACAUUUAUAUGCCAGAAAUUAACGGGUUAAACCAGAGUAUGCUGAAGAAUCAAUUGCAGGAACAGCAAAACCAGAGUAUGCUGAAGAAUCAAUUGCAGGAAAGUACAAGAUUCGACAUCAUAAGUUCAACUCAAUCAGGUACUUACAUCAUAGUCGGGUCUUGUGCCAGUAUCCAGUGCAUCUGGAUCCUUCAAAUCCUGAAGAGCAAAUUUCCACCUGAUUCUUUUAGAUCCAUGGUGAUGCUCUUCUGAUUCAUUUACAUUAUGUUUCAUAUCUCCAGCAACUCUAUUGCAUAAGGCACCAAUUAUGCAUCUGAUGCAAAAGGCUAUCAGGGGAACCAGAACUAGAAAAUAACCAGUGCUUUUAGCCUGAUAAUAAAAUUGACAAGUCUGUUGAGCCUGUUACUAAA